AAAUAUAUAUAUAAUAAUAAUCGAGUUGAAAAUUAAAAUUCGAAUAAAAUAAAUAAUCGUAUAAUUAUUCAUCUUGCGAAUCAAAAGGAUUAACGCAGGGAAUUGGUUCAGAAAUCUUCGCCUUUAUCUUUAAUUCCGAAAAAGAGGAAAAAACUUGAAAGGAAGAAAAGUAAUAAUUAAAUCCUGAUUUGUUUGUUUGAAUAAUUAAUUCCACGUACCAGCUGAUAAAUCUAUCUCCACGAAAGGGGCUGAUGAAACGGUGUUGAAAAUAAAACGAUACAGUAUUUAUUGGCUUUCGGAGAGGGGCUUUCGUGACAAAUUACGAGCCAUAAUAAAUCUACUCCAGACUGUUACUUAUUAUCGUUCGGGACGCGUUCCUGGUUGGAGUUGCAGAGAACAAGAACGAACUAUUAUCCAAUAGUUACUUUAAAAUAGGACGAAGAAGGCAUUCCGUUUUUACAUACAAAUAAUAAUUUCAAGCUUAAAUUAACGCCUCGUGAUUUUCUGCUCGAUGAUCGAAUAAUUUCGAUAUUUACGAAUUUUUUUUGAAAAAUAUUAUAGAUGUCUUGUUAUUUCUACGUAUCAGUGACAGUGUUUUUUCAAUGAACGACAGGUAUUUCAUAAUGUGGGAAAAAUUAUAUUAUGAUUUUAGAAAGUUAAAUAGUUUUGGACUUGGAUUUAAUAUUCCAUUUAUAAAUCUAUUAUGUAAAAUCGUAGAUGAAAGUAUCAUAAGGAAGAUCAAUUUUUACAUUCUUUAUUCUUAUUCAAUAUUCUCCAUUAUUUGCCAAUCAAAGAAUAUAGAAGAUUAUUCGCUACUUAUAAUUUUGAUGAUUAAUGAAUGAAGCAAAAAUCUGAACAAUGACUUUUAAAAAACGUAAAAUUGUAAAUUGAACGAAUUUUAAGCGAUAUAAAAAAAAGAAAAAUGCAUAAACUUUCGAUCCUUUCUUUUACACGUUAACUUCGAUUGGAAGGGGAAACAAGAUUUCUGGAAAAAGUCGAAACGAAAAGGCAAAUCCAUCUCGUUUCUCUCCCUGAACGUUCGUAUACAGCGUGGAUGGAACGGAACUCGAACUCUCCAUUCCAACGAAACGAGAUUGACUGUAAAAGUUGGCAUUGUUGAGGAAAAGGGGAGAAGAACGCGAGUUCUGGAAAAGAGUCACGGGCCAGCCAUGUGUGUACAUACAUAAGUGCUCACGUACAGGGUGUUUCAUUUCGAACGUGAAAUAUUGGAUAUUUGAAGGAUCAAAAAUUUCACACACACACGGAUAUCCAAUAAUAAGAUUGGAAUAAUAGAAAAUGAAACGAUAAUUCCACGUCGUUUUAAGCUAUCAACUACUUCUUCCAUCGAUAUUAGAUGGAAUUUAAAAUACAGGGAAAUUUUAUUUUAAAUUGCUUCUUUAACUUACAAUUUGAUUCAUCGUAUAUUCCCUUCCAGUAUUUAUAAUCACAUUAUAUUCACCAUCAUUCUAUAUAAUUUAGUAAUACUCUCGUACUGAUUUAUAUUUCAAACUGUUCCUCCGUGUAGAAUUGCUUUCCGUAGGACAAAUACUUCUUGCAGGAUGGGGUCCUCUAUUUAUUCUUAAUGUUGUAAUCUCAAAAUUCAGAAGAUGGUGGACACUCUUUGUCCAAAAAGAGAGGUCAAGAUGGUCUUCUAAUUCUAGAAAUUUGAUUUUAUUUAGAAGAAAAAAUAUAACAGGUGGCUGAAUAAAUUAUUAUUCAACCCCGUUCGGUUGCAAGAACAAGCCUGUAAACCGGGAAAAAACGAAUCGAAGUCGAAGCGUUUCGUUAAGUGGUGGCUUGGUCGGGUCGGGAGAGGAGGCAAACGAGAUGCACAUCCAUCAGAGGCAGGGAGGAAAUGGCGAGGGUGUAGUAGGCGAUCCUUUAGAAGCAACAGCUUUCGUUGCUUUGCAAGCUCGGGGGUCUUCCACGAGACGCCCUCGUUCGUCCACGCGGUGAGAGAAGUUGGGAAGAAGUCUUGGCAUCGGCCAGAGAAAUCUCGCGCAGCCUGUAUUCAAGAACCAUGGAAGGAUAACCGUGGAAGGCGAGAUUAAAGGCGUGGUGGAACGUUUGGGACGAGAUCUCCCAUUGUUUGUCGUUGCUUGGAAAAUCAUUGUGAAGAAAUUCAUGCUCUGGAAACGUUGUAAGGCAAAAGAAAAUAGAAUAGGAAAAUCAUUGUAAAGAAAUUCAAGCUGAAAGGAAACGUUGUAAUGCAAAAGAAGUAAAUAGUAUAAGAAUUUAUGGUAUCAACAAUUGACUUUUGCAUCUUGUUAAGAAAUUCUCCUAGUCAAUUCUUGGAACAAUUCUAUAUAAUGCACACUUUUGUAAUAACAAUGUUUUCACGUCGUGUACAACAAGGAAAAUAUAUUUUCUCUUUGAUACAAAUACUCGUCAUUGUCAGAGAGAAAUAUUUCCUUCCGAGGAGGAAAUUUAAAUUCUUGAUAACUCCAACUUGAUUACUCGUUGAAAUAUUUAUAUAUAAGUCUUUGAAACAUAGAUAGAAACGUAGACCAUUCCGCUUUGUAAGGGGUAUACACCAUUGUGAAAUAUUCAAAUGACAGCUUUUUUUUUUUUUUUUUUUUCAUGGAUGAAAAGAAGAGAGUUUCUGGUAAGAAACUGGAUUAAAAAAAGUCUGACUUGUAUAUUUUUACGUAUCGUUGGGAUAUUACAAAAUACAAAGAUGUUGAUAAUUAUUAAAUGAAUCGAUGUUUUAAUUUUUGAAAUGUUAAUAAAGAAUAACAAAUAAGGAUUUUUCAAAAUAAACAUAAACUAAAUCUCAGCUCAACAUAUCAAGUUUUAUAAACUAAAACUGUUCCAGAUAUUCUAGACUCGCAAAAAGAAUAGAGAAACAGGAUAAAGUGAUUGGAUGGAACGCGAUUGGUUGAAAGCGGUCAAUGGCUCUUGCUAAAAUUGUUCAACGAAACAAAUAUUCAAAAUAUGAAGGAAAUUGUUCAGACGACAUAAUGGCGCACAUUGAUUCGAUGAAUGGGUGGAAAACUCGCGCAAUUUAUGUCCAGCGAAAAAGGAAUUUCCGAAAAUUCCAUUAACCAUUUAAUUCCAUGCAAAGUGAACAUUAAAAUCGCGGACUAAAUUCCUUUCGGCAAACAGACGAGCAACCUCUUUUCCCUAAAACCGUAAUCACGUUUAUCACGGUCGUGAUCGUUUCACGUCUAAAACGAAUUCUCUUGCCAAGUUUUUCUUUUUUCUCUCUCCCUCCUUCCCUUCUUUUUUCCUCUCUCUCAUUUUUCCUUUCUUUUUUUCUUUCUUUCUCUUCUCCUCCUUCUUCUUGUUCUUUUUUCAUCUUCCCUCGAAACACAUGCAAAUUAAUCGCAUUAUCAACGAAUCGAGCAUAUUGUUCUCUCCCUUUGUUUUCCGGGAACACAUCGAGAAAUUGAAAAUUUUGCCAAUGUUAUAGGUAACGUAAAGAAACGGUUAUAAACCAGGGGGAUCCAGGAUAAUUUAUGGAGAAGGCAUGCCGCCAAGAUUUAAGGGUACUUAUAAAUUUUCAAAACUGACGAAUAUUGGAGACUCGUUCAGUCAAGUAUUUUACUUGUUAGCAAUGAGUAUCAAAUAUUUCAUAUUUGUUACUUGGAUUUAUAUUUAACUAGAUUAAACUCGAUCCCAUCUACCGUUGGUGCUCGAAUAAGAACGAAACGUUGAAAAAAAGUGAAGGAAAAAAACGAGAAUGGAGAACAGUUGACGAAACGAAAAAAGAAAAAAAAGACUGGAAUCACAACUUGAACAUCGAAUGACUGGAACUUGAAAAAGGAGGACAAAAAGCUGUAUAGCCCUUUCAACGUAUCGUUCCACGAUCCCGUCGUCGAAAGCCUUUGCACGAUCGUUUUUCCCGCGUUUUUUUCUCUCAUUCCUUCUACUUUCUUCGACCCCCGUAUCACUCUUGUUUCGAGCAUUAAUUUCUCUCUCUCUCUUUCUCUCUAACCUUUUUUCUCUGUCUAAUAGAUGCCAUCUAAGGACAAAAACUAUUAUCGACACGGAAAAAUAUACGAGUACAGAUCAGCGAGGCGAAAAUCAAAUAGAAAAUAAAAUCAAUAAUAACAAAAUUGCAUUGAAAGAGUUUAAAUAAUUGUCGAAUAUAAAUAGAAUUUGUAAUUAAUUUGUAUUUCUAUAAAAGAUAGUAAGAAUUUUUACACUAAUAAAUAAAUCAAGAUGAAAAAUAAAUAAACAAAAGUGCACUUCGAUCUUCGAUCACACGAAGAAUAGGCUCGUGAAGAGAAUCCUCAGAGAAUCGCAGAUUAAUCGAGCAAUUACGAUCACGAUAUAUCCGUCGUUUCACGGAUCGACGCUUUUGAAAUUUUGAACGAGAGAUCGUGCCCACGUGGACACGAUUUUCUCGACCACGGAGGCGUUUCCACCGAGACGGGCCUGUUUUCACGAUAAAGAUCUUCGAUAGUUGGGCCCAUUACCUGUUGCACACACUUUGUGAAAGAGUGACAUAACGUAAGGAGAAGCAGAAACCGGCUGAAUCGUAUGUGGGAGUAAUCCUUGCGCCGUGUAGGCCGAUCCCAAUUUCCUUCUUUUAAUCGAAUCACGUGGAUGUCUGUACGUCAACUUUUAUACACAUUUCUUUAAUCCUCUAACGUAUCUUUUUCAAAGGGAAAUCGUCGAAGAAUUCAUCGCAAUGCAUUUAGUUGUGGGAUGAAAGUAAUUGAGGAGGAAAUUUCCAAGAAGGUAAUUACGUACUUGUUAAAUUUAAUAUUCUGACGAAAGAUAAGUUACUGGAAAAGAAGACAGACUUUUCCCUCCUUUUUUCAUUCUUCCCUUCGUAAGUAUUCUUUCAACUUUUAUACACAUUUCUUUAAUCCUCUAACGUAUCUUUUUCAAAGGGAAAUCGUCGAAGAAUUCAUCGCAAUGCAUUUAGUUGUGGGAUGAAAGUAAUUGAGGAGGAAAUUUCCAAGAAGGUAAUUACGUACUUGUUAAAUUUAAUAUUCUGACGAAAGAUAAGUUACUGGAAAAGAAGACAGACUUUUCCCUCCUUUUUUCAUUCUUCCCUUCGUAAGUAUUCUUUCAACUUUUAUACACAUUUCUUUAAUCCUCUAACGUAUCUUUUUCAAAGGGAAAUCGUCGAAGAAUUCAUCGCAAUGCAUUUACAUUGUGGGAUGAAAGUAAUUGAGGAGGAAAUUUCCAAGAAGGUAAUUACGUACUUGUUAAGUUUGAUAUUCUGACGAAAGAUAAGUUACUGGAAAAGAAGACAGACUUUUCCCUCCUUUUUUCAUUCUUCCCUUCGUAAGUACUCUUUUACGAGAAAACGAUUGAUUCUUUCUCUCUCUUAUUUCUUCCCUCCCAAUUAGAACAACGAAUUACACAUCGUCGCUUAUCCUCCCCGAUAUGAGAUAACGAGGAAACAUUGUUGAUUCCCCGACACACGGUUUAAAUAGAAAUCGGCGAUCCGGAAAUGGAUAUCCGGAAUGGGAGCCGUGGUCAAACGGGUGUAAUAACGUUUAAACAAAUUCCGCGGUCCGGUCAAUAAUCAAUUUGUCAGGCGCAUCGAUGAAUCUGGCCAAUCCUCUCCCCUUUUUCCUUCCUUCGCGCGCUUGUACGCAGAGGGGAGGAGGGGGAAGCUAUCGACAACCGCAAAAUCGCACGCGCAUCGCCGCCAAAUCGGAUUUCGCGGUGGCCGCCCGUAUUAUUUGCAUAUCGGUUCCAGCGUUUCGUUGGAAACAACGACGGUCCGUCCACGGUGUUGCAUCGACGAGAUUGUGAGGGGGAGGAGGAAAGGAGGAAAAUGAAUGUGGAGCACGGGGAAAUAAAGCAGUCGGUAUGUCGUGCUCGGGGGAGGGAUUAGAAGGAGGGAGAGGAAGGUCUGGAUGAAUUUACGAUACGUUGGGUGACGCUUUUU
rnacentral:lncRNA from 1 species